rnacentral:tRNA from 1 species
UUUGUCGUGGCCUAGUGGUUGGUUAAGGCGAUGGACUACAAAUCUUUUGGGAUCUUCCCGCGCAUGUUCGAAUCCUGCCGACAUCG